UAGUGAGGAGAAGCUCUCAGAAGCAGAGGCCACAAGCCCACAAUUUCAUUGAGAAACGAUGAAAAAAAAAUAAAGGUAAAUACUUCAUUAAAUAUUUAAAUUUUGCUAUUUUGAUAAUUGUAUCGGCAUUAUUCUCAUAAUUGUAGUUGACGCGAGAGAUUUGGGCUUGUUCGAGAUGUCUACGUUCCCAAGCAUUACUACACUGGGGUGAUUACGUAAAUUCAAUGAGAGCAGCACAGGAGUUCAGCUCAAGAAUGUUUGAUUCCAUAAAGAUGGUUUCAACAAUGAAGAAGUCGAUCUUUGAUGAACAAACUAACAAGGCCUAAAGGAAAUUGCAAAAGAAUGCUCAAAAGAAGAAUAAGCAUCAUGAUGUGGUUCGAGCUGAAUGGGCAAAUCAUGUUAUACAGUUCUAACUUUGGUUCUGUUUAAGGUAGAUGAGUAGCACUUGGAACUGCUUUUGUGCAUUUAUAUAUAACUGAUGGAAAGUGUUGAUGAACUUAAAUUA